rnacentral:rRNA from 1 species
GGGCGAAAGCCUGAACCAGCCAUGCCGCGUGCAGGAAGACGGCCCUACGGGUUGUAAACUGCUUUUGCAGGGGAAUAAACCCCGGUACGUGUACCGGGCUGAAUGUACUCUGAGAAUAAGGAUCGGCUAACUCCGUGCCAGCAGCCGCGGUAAUACGGAGGAUCCAAGCGUUAUCCGGAUUUAUUGGGUUUAAAGGGUGCGUAGGCGGCCUAUUAAGUCAGGGGUGAAAGACGGUAGCUUAACUAUCGCAGUGCCUUUGAUACUGAUGGGCUUGAAUACACUAGAGGUAGGCGGAAUGUGACAAGUAGCGGUGAAAUGCAUAGAUAUGUCACAGAACACCAAUUGCGAAGGCAGCUUACUAUGGUGUGAUUGACGCUGAGGCACGAAAGCGUGGGGAUCAAACAGGAUUAGAUACCCUGGUAGUCCACGCCCUAAACGAUGAACACUCGAUGUUAGCGAUAUACAGUUAGCGUCU